UGCUGGAGGUAUCAGAAGUGCGAAUGCUGACAUAAGUAACGAUAAAGCGGGUGAAAAGCCCGCUCGCCGGAAGACCAAGGGUUCCUGUCCAACGUUAAUCGGGGCAGGGUGAGUCGACCCCUAAGGCGAGGCCGAAAGGCGUAGUCGAUGGGAAACGGGUUAAUAUUCCCGUACUUGGUGUUACUGCGAAGGGGGGACGGAGAAGGCUAUGUUGGCCGGGCGACGGUUGUCCCGGUUUAAGCGUGUAGGUGUGUGUUCCAGGUAAAUCCGGUUCACUUUAACACUGAGGCGUGACGACGAGGCACUACGGUGCUGAAGCAACAAAUGCCCUGCUUCCAGGAAAAGCCUCUAAGCAUCAGGUAACAUCAAAUCGUACCCCAAACCGACACAGGUGGUCAGGUAGAGAAUACCAAGGCGCUUGAGAGAACUCGGGUGAAGGAACUAGGCAAAAUGGUGCCGUAACUUCGGGAGAAGGCACGCUGACAUGUAGGUGAAGUGAUUUACUCAUGGAGCUGAAGUCAGUCGAAGAUACCAGCUGGCUGCAACUGUUUAUUAAAAACACAGCACUGUGCAAACACGAAAGUGGACGUAUACGGUGUGACGCCUGCCCGGUGCCGGAAGGUUAAUUGAUGGGGUCAGCGCAAGCGAAGCUCCUGAUCGAAGCCCCGGUAAACGGCGGCCGUAACUAUAACGGUCCUAAGGUAGCGAAAUUCCUUGUCGGGUAAGUUCCGACCUGCACGAAUGGCGUAAUGAUGGCCAGGCUGUCUCCACCCGAGACUCAGUGAAAUUGAACUCGCUGUGAAGAUGCAGUGUACCCGCGGCAAGACGGAAAGACCCCGUGAACCUUUACUAUAGCUUGACACUGAACAUUGAGCCUUGAUGUGUAGGAUAGGUGGGAGGCUUUGAAGCGUGGACGCCAGUCUGCAUGGAGCCGACCUUGAAAUACCACCCUUUAAUGUUUGAUGUUCUAACGUGGACCCGUAAUCCGGGUUGCGGACAGUGUCUGGUGGGUAGUUUGACUGGGGCGGUCUCCUCCUAAAGAGUAACGGAGGAGCACGAAGGUUGGCUAAUCCUGGUCGGACAUCAGGAGGUUAGUGCAAUGGCAUAAGCCAGCUUGACUGCGAGCGUGACGGCGCGAGCAGGUGCGAAAGCAGGUCAUAGUGAUCCGGUGGUUCUGAAUGGAAGGGCCAUCGCUCAACGGAUAAAAGGUACUCCGGGGAUAACAGGCUGAUACCGCCCAAGAGUUCAUAUCGACGGCGGUGUUUGGCACCUCGAUGUCGGCUCAUCACAUCCUGGGGCUGAAGUAGGUCCCAAGGGUAUGGCUGUUCGCCAUUUAAAGUGGUACGCGAGCUGGGUUUAGAACGUCGUGAGACAGUUCGGUCCCUAUCUGCCGUGGGCGCUGGAGAACUGAGGGGGGCUGCUCCUAGUACGAGAGGACCGGAGUGGACGCAUCACUGGUGUUCGGGUUGUCAUGCCAAUGGCACUGCCCGGUAGCUAAAUGCGGAAGAGAUAAGUGCUGAAAGCAUCUAAGCACGAAACUUGCCCCGAGAUGAGUUCUCCCUGAGACUUAAAGUCUCCUGAAGGAACGUUGAAGACGACGACGUUGAUAGGCCGGGUGUGUAAGCGCAGCGAUGCGUUGAGCUAACCGGUACUAAUGAACCGUGAGGCUUAACCUU
rnacentral:rRNA from 2 species